UACCAGCACCCCGAGUGGUCGGGACGAUUAUUGGGCCUAAAGCAUCCGUAGCCGGUCAUGCAAGUCUUCCGUUAAAUCCAGCCGCUCAACGGUUGGGCUGCGGAGGAUACUACGUGGCUAGGAGGCGGGGAGAGGCAAGCGGUACUCAGUGGGUAGGGGUAAAAUCCUUUGAUCCAUUGAAGACCACCAGUGGCGAAGGCGGCUUGCCAGAACGCGCUCGACGGUGAGGGAUGAAAGCUGGGGGGAGCAAACCGG
rnacentral:rRNA from 1 species